AAUCUAUGGUGUCGGCACUUCCUGAGCAUUGACUUGAAACAUUUCGACGCCUCAUAUAGGGAUUCACCUUUAUAUUGCUUAAAUUUGGCGAUUUCUUGCCUAAGCU
rfam:Gossypium hirsutum cultivar TM-1 chromosome 5, whole genome shotgun sequence